GAUGAAGAACGUAGCGAAAUGCGAUACGUAAUGUGAAUUGCAGAAUUCAGUGAAUCAUCGAAUCUUUGAACGCAUAUUGCGCUCUCUGGUAUUCCGGAGAGCAUGCUUGUUUGAGUAUCAGUAAACACCUCAACUUCCAUAUCUUUUUUGAAAUGGGAGUUGGACUUGAGUGAUCCCAACGCUUUUCCUCACCGAAAAGUGGCGGGUUACUUGAAAUGCAGGUGCAGCUGGACUUUUCUCUGAGCUAUAAGCAUAUCUAUUUAGUCUGCCUAAAAAACAGAUUAUUACCUUUGCUGCAGCUAACAUAAAGGAGAUUAGUUCUUGUGCUGACUGAUGCAGGAUUCACAAAGACGGCUUCGGCCGACUUUGUAAACUCGAUCUCAAAUCAAGUAAGACUACCCGCUGAACUUAAGCAUAUAAAUAAGCGGAGGA
rnacentral:misc_RNA from 1 species